GACGAACGCUGGCGGCGUGCUUAACACAUGCAAGUCGAACGGAAAGGCCCUGCUUUUGUGGGGUGCUCGAGUGGCGAACGGGUGAAUAACACGUGAGUAACCUGCCCUUGACUUUGGGAUACUUCAGGAAACUGGGGCUAAUACCGGAUAGGAGCUCCUGCUGCAUGGGGGGGGUUGGAAAGUUUCGGCGGUUGGGGGUGGACUCGCGGCUUAUCAGCUUGUUGGUGGGGUAGUGGCUUACCAAGGCUUUGACGGGGAGCCGGCCUGAGAGGGUGACCGGCCACAUUGGGACUAAGAUACGGCCCAGACUCCUACGGGAGGCAGCAGUGGGGAAUAUUGCACAAUGGGCGGAAGCCUGAUGCAGCAACGCCGCGUGCGGGAUGACGGCCUUCGGGUUGUAAACCGCUUUCGCCUGUGACGAAGCGUGAGUGACGGUAAUGGGUAAAGAAGCACCGGCUAACUACGUG
rnacentral:rRNA from 1 species